rnacentral:rRNA from 1 species
UAGUCCACGCCCUAAACGAUGCUUACUGGAUGUGUGUUAAUGUUAUGCGCAUCUGAGGGAAACCAUUAAGUAAGCCACCUGGGGAGUACGUCGGCAACGAUGAAACUCAAGGGAAUUGACGGGGGCCCGCACAAGCGGUGGAGCAUGUGGUUUAAUUCGAUGAUACGCGAGGAACCUUACCAGGGCUUAAAUGUAGUCUGACAGCUUUAGAGAUAGAGUUUUCUUCGGACAGAUUACAAGGUGCUGCAUGGUUGUCGUCAGCUCGUGCCGUGAGGUGUCAGGUUAAGUCCUAUAACGAGCGCAACCCCUGUUGUUAGUUGCCAGCGAGUAAUGUCGGGAACUCUAGCAAGACUGCCGGUGCAAACCGCGAGGAAGGUGGGGAUGACGUCAAAUCAUCACGGCCCUUACGUCCAGGGCCCACACACGUGCUACAAUGGUAGGUACAGAGAGCAGCCACGUCGCGAGGCGGAGCGAAUCUAUAAAACCUAUCUCAGUUCGG